rnacentral:rRNA from 1 species
UACGUAGGGGGCGAGCGUUGUCCGGGUUUAUUGGGCGUAAAGAGCUCGUAGGCGGUUCGAUAAGUCGGACGUGAAAUCUCCACGCUCAACGUGGAGGGGCCGUUCGAUACUGUCGUGACUCGAGUCCGGUAGGGGAGUGUGGAAUUCCCGGUGUAGCGGUGAAAUGCGCAGAUAUCAGGAGGAACACCAAUGGCGAAGGCAGCACUCUGGGACGUGACUGACGCUGAGACGCGAAAGCGUGGGGAGCAAACAGG